AAACCAAAAAAAAACCCAAAAACAACCUGACAGAAAACAGAUCAUAUUAAGUCUAUGUAAGUCUAUGUAAGUGUUAAGAACACAACAUGUUUAAAGAAACACAAUAAAAUGGUUAGAGAAAUCUGAAGACUAGGCUGUCAAUAAUAAAACUCAACAAUGAAAACACAAUUCACAACAAAAAUACCUGGUAAGUAGAACUUACAAAACUCAUAAAGUAGAAACUCCUAUUAUUACUCUAUCAAAGGUCCAGUUAAAAGGUAAAAAGCCAAACUACAGGAGACUGAGAAAAUGCUUGUUUACGUGGAAAACAUACAAAGACAUGUUAACAGUAAUAACCAAAAAGCUCAAUUAGAGAAUGGGCAAAAACAGUUAUUUCACCAAAGAGUAACUAAAUCCAAUGAGUGUUCAUAGCUCAGUGAACCCUGAAGAGAGCCAUGUUUGGCCUCUCCCUGGCUCUACUUUCCAGAUGGGACCUCCAUCAUCUUAGCAACUUCAGUCAGGACAAGGGUCAGCUCCUGAAUUCACCUGGUCAGGGGGUACCUGUAUCUCAGACAAGUUAAGAGUGGGGUCAGAUGACAUCACCCACCCACUGCACACGGUCGGCUCUCAAGCCACUGUGCCUGAGUCUCAUUAAGGAGUGCCUGCAGAUGUCCCUGACUUCACUCAGUGACAAGUCUAGGAGACUCCACUGUACUAGCCACCAAGUACAAAGCAAGACUUACAACUUCACGGCCAGGGCGACAACGUUCAUCAAGGCUAGUGCUCGGUGCUGUUGCUAAGCGCCCUGUCACAAUGGGUCUGCAUAGAGUUCCAGGCCCCAGAUGGGCUGCCUGUCACUCUCGUGGAGGCUCAAGAACCCUGUGACAGGCAAAGCAGGAGCCAUGCAAGAUGUAGGACGGCUAGAAGAGCGGUUCAUGCUAUUAUGCUGGGGGUCCGGCAUGGGCCCUAGGAGACUCUACAGCCAACAAUACAGACUGGCUUCCAAUGCCACUGUGGAUGCCUGGAACUGUGGUUGGUGACCUGGAUGCACAAGAUACUUGCAGGUUUAAAAGAAAACAUCACCUCAUCCGGAAUGCAUGAGGCAGCUCCACAUUUCAGACAUGGCUUCCUCUGCUGUCGUAUUAAAAACUUUAUUGAGCUCA